rnacentral:rRNA from 1 species
AACGAACGCUGGCGGCAGGCCUAACACAUGCAAGUCGAACGGUAACGCGGGGCAACCUGGCGACGAGUGGCGAACGGGCGAGUAAUGCAUCGGAACGUGCCCAGUAGUGGGGGAGAGCCCGGCGAAAGCCGGAUUAACACCGCAUACGACCUACGGGUGAAAGCGGGGGACCGUAAGGCCUCGCGCUAUUGGACCGGCCGAUGUCUGAUUAGCUAGUUGGCGGGGUAAAAGCCCAACAAGGCGACGAUCAGUAGCUGGUCUGAGAGGACGAUACGCCACACUGGGACUGCGACACGGCCCAGACUCCUACGGGAGGCAGCAGUGGGGAAUUUUGGACAAUGGGGGCAACCCUGAUCCAGCAAUGCCGCGUGUGCGAAGAAGGCUUUCGGGUUGUAAAGCACUUUUGUCAGGGAAGAAAUCUUUCAGGCUAAUACCCUUGGAAGGAUGACGGUACCUGAAGAAUAAGCACCGGCUAACUACGUGCCAGCCGCCGCCGUAA